GUCCCUGUAGCGCAAUGGAUUGAUUGCGCAUUGGACUUUUAAUCCAAAGGUCGUGGGUUUGAAUCCCACCUUGGAUG